rnacentral:rRNA from 1 species
AAUAGAUACCCCGGUAGUCCAUGCCGUAAACGUUGGGCGCUAGGUGUGGGACUCAUUCCACGAGUUCCGUGCCGCAGCUAACGCAUUAAGCGCCCCGCCUGGGGAGUACGGCCGCAAGGCUAAAACUCAAAGGAAUUGACGGGGGCCCGCACAAGCGGCGGAGCAUGCGGAUUAAUUCGAUGCAACGCGAAGAACCUUACCAAGGCUUGACAUACACCGGACGCGCUCAGAGAUGGGUGUUUCUUCGGACUGGUGUACAGGUGGUGCAUGGUUGUCGUCAGCUCGUGUCGUGAGAUGUUGGGUUAAGUCCCGCAACGAGCGCAACCCUCGUUCUAUGUUGCCAGCACGUGAUGGUGGGGACUCAUAGGAGACUGCCGGGGUCAACGUCGGAGGAAGGUGGGGAUGACGUCAAAUCAUCAUGCCCCUUAUGUCUUGGGCUUCACGCAUGCUACAAUGGCCGGUACAAAGGGCUGCGAAACCGCGAGGUGGAGCGAAUCCCAAAAAACCGGUCUCAGUUCGGAUUGGGGU